rnacentral:misc_RNA from 1 species
AUGAAAUGCAAGGGUGCUCUUCUUAGAGGCCCGACCUAUUACAUUUCCACACCGUGCACACACUUCUUUUCACAUCAUUUUAAACACAAGUACUAUGAAUGUAACAAAGUCUCGUAAUAGAGCAUAAAAGUUAAUA